rnacentral:lncRNA from 1 species
AUAUAUUAUAGAAUUGUGGAUCAUCAAUGACAGGUGGCAUCAUCACUCAAACUUCCAAUAAACUAAGCUGAAGGUUUGGCUGCAUCAGGACAAGAAGAUAUAUUAUAGAAUUAUGGAUCAUCAAUGACGGGUGCACCUUCAAAUCAUGUUCUCUAUUCACUUGUACCCAACAGUAAGAGAAGCAGUAAGCCUCAUUGCACGUCUCAUUACUUGCCUUGCAAUAAGUGAAAUGGAAAACAGAGCGAGUGGGAAUCAGGUGAUCACAUCGGAGAAUGUUUUCGUAGGUCCUCCGGAAGAUCACGAAAACCUAGUGUUACUGCUCAAACUGUCAGUUGUGAAGCUAACGAUGACGGUGUCGGUGCCCAGUGAAUGCCUCCGAUACGUCCAC